rnacentral:misc_RNA from 1 species
GAUGAAGAACGCAGCGAAAUGCGAUAAGUAAUGUGAAUUGCAGAAUUCAGUGAAUCAUCGAAUCUUUGAACGCACAUUGCGCCCCCUGGUAUUCCGGGGGGCAUGCCUGUCCGAGCGUCAUUGCAACCCUCAAGCGCGGCUUGUGUGUUGGGCUUCGUCCCCCCGUGGACGUGCCCGAAAGGCAGUGGCGGCGUCCCGAAUGGUGCCCGAGCGUAUGGGAACUCUCUUCCGCUCGAACCGGCCCAUUCGGCGCUGGUCGAACCCCAAUUUUUUUUACCGGUUGACCUCGGAUCAGGUAGGGAUACCCGCUGAACUUAAGCAUAUCAAUAAGCGGAGGA